UCAUCUCAAUCUCCCCUCUUUCAGCUGAAAACCAUUCCUCCCUGCCCUAUCCCUGAUCAAGAGGCACUCAAGAAGGGAAUAUUUGCCAAAUGAUAACGUACAGAUUGUCAUGAGUUUCUCCAUGACCGAAUUCCUCCUUUAAAGCAAACACCCAACCAAAAAUAUUGCUUUUUAACCACCCAGGUGGUAAAUAAUGGCCAAAUGAAUAAUUUUGCUUCAAUUCUUUUCCCUCCUUCCUUUCAGCCACUGCAAGUUGCGAGUGGCCGGAGAGGAAAAGGUCCCUAUUUUUCCUCAUUAAACACCGAACAAGAUGCUAACGGUUCCUUCGGAAUCUGGCGGCGUAGCGCAUUCAGCAUAUGGCGUGAGGAGAGGAGCCACUGGUGACAGAUUUUUUGGUUCAUUUUGAGGGAAAAACACAGAUAAACACAGGCUUUCACUGUUUAAAAACUGACUCCUCGUUUUCCUUAAACAAACAUCAAAAUCUGGAGGCUCCGGAGGCAGCGGUUGGGAUGUGAUGACCGGACCAGGAAUGAGAUUUGCUGCUGGAAUUUGAUGUCCAGUCAAGUUUUUUUUGGUUGUGUGGGCUGGAGGCAAGAGUUGUGUGAGACAUGGGUGUCCCCAAACCCUGCGAGUGUCACCCCGUGCUUCCAGAGGGACACUCCAGAAUUCAAGGUUUCCAUUCUUCCAGGGAUGCUGGGAUGAAGGGACCCCAAAUUCAAAGAGAGGGUUCCUUGUUUCCAUAGGGGCUGGAAUGAAGGGACCCCAGAAUUCAAGGUUCCCAUUCUUCCAGGAGGUCUGCAAUGAAGGGACCCCAAAUUCAAAGAGAGGUUUUCGUAUUUCCAGAGGGAUGGGGAUGAAGAGACCCCAAAUUCAAAGAGGUGUUUCCAUGCUUAGAGGAUCCGGGAUGGAGGGACCCCCAAAUUCAAGAGGAGCUGGGAUGAAGGGACUCUACAACUCAAGGUUUCCAUUCUUCCAGAGGGACUGAGAUGAAGGGACCCCAGAAUUUAAGGAGAGGUUUCCGUGCUUCCUGGGGGGCUGAGCUCAUCCCACUCCCAACCUCCUGUCCCCACCUGCCCGGCUGCCGGGAAGCACGCGCCCGUGCCAUCGUAGGCACCUUGAGGUGACGGAUGGAGGCUAAGAAUGGAAAAUCAGGCGUCAGCUGUCCGGCUUCUCCGGACACAUUGUCCCACAGCUGCCGGAGCCGGGACUGGAGCAGGAAAGGACCCACUGGGGGCAGGGGGGACGAGGAAUUUUGGACUUUCCAACAGCUGAUGGUGGCUCCUGGGGUGCAGUUGGUGUGAGAUGAGUGUGAGGAGGCUCAGCCGGAGAGGGGGAGAGCUGUGCCCCUCGGAGCCGUGGGCAGAGAUGGGGUUGGGGUCCCUGUGGGGGGCAAGUGCAGCCCCUUCCCCACCACACACGGGGUGCGUCAGCUCUGGGGGUCCCCCCUAUCGCCAUGGGGGUCCCCCAUGGGGUGCAUAGAGGGCUCAGUGUGUGGGCAUGGA